rnacentral:lncRNA from 1 species
UCAGAUUUGCUAUGGCGGCGGGUGUGAAAGUUCAGUACGUACGUCUAGAGUACCUAUAUACAGAGAGUAUGGCCACUGGGUCCCAUGGAGAGGCUUAGGACCCAAAAAUGGCGGUGCUUUGUUUUGGUUUUUGUGGAUGGGAGGGGGGUCAUUGCCAACUUUUGACGGUUAUCACCAACCGCACUCGCUGCCAACCUUACUGCAUCUAAGAUAAUUUUUUCUCGAAAAUUGCGCACGAUUAGCCUUAAAAAUAUGUAACGAGGUCGCAAUAGUGCAUUUGGGUAAAUUUCUCGUCACGAUAAGCAAAGAAUGAUGAUAUUUUGAGUCAUUGUGCAUUACAUUAAUUUAUGGCGUCCGCCAUUUUUGGGUCCUAAGGGCUCCAUGGAGCCUAAGAUGGCUGAGCCAAUCAGAGGUGGUAACUCCAGUGGCCAUACUCUCUGUAUAUAGGUACUCUACGUACGUCAUCGCGCAAAAGAACCCCCAAUAUUUUUGUUGUGAUUGAUAAUCACAGAUCAUUUCUGUAGUAUUUAUCGACUUUUCUCUUGCUUUUCUCAGUUUGUCGCCUACAGAUUCGCUUCUCCCUCUCUUGCCUCUUUAUAUUUCUUCAAAAGUGAAAGCCCAUCAGUUUUCUUGCUGCAUGUAUAUUAUACUUUUCGACCUAUUGACCAGCUUUCAUCAUUCAAGUUCAUUGCAAAUGUACAUAUCUCAAACAUUUCGCCUGAAAAUUUCUGCUGAGCAUGCACUUUGAAUCGAUACCAUGAGCAUUCGAAGGAGGAAAAUUGCAUUACCAAAUCCGGAGGAGCCUUCCAAUGGUAGCAUAAAGAAAGAAAAUGACGGUGGAAACCCCACUUCAUUUUUGCAGGAAAGUAUCGAUCCUUCAGAUAUGCCAGCUGGAAAUUUUCUCAAGUUAGAAUGGAACGCACAGAAUUCUCCUGUCGAAUCAGGUUCUGUUAUUCUCCAUGAAUCCGUCGAACUUGAUACAAGGUUACAGGAGGAAGCACAACUGCAAACACAAACUCAAGAGGUGAUCAUUGUGACAGGUGAAAAAGAUGGAGUGCCUGAAGAUGAUGACAACAACUUAUAUAUGAAUUACUCGAUGCUGACAGACCAGCUCAUUUCCGGGCAUUUCCUCACUGGCGCUACUGCAGAAGAAGUUUUCAAUGGCGAGCCGUCACGGUCAAAAGGAGUGAUCUCUGACAUCCUAUGCGAUAAAUUCAAGUGCCAUCAUUGUAAUCUAAGCUUCCUGUCCCACCAGUUCUACAAA